rnacentral:rRNA from 1 species
AGAGUUUGAUCCUGGCUCAGGAUGAAUGCUGGCGGCGUGCCUAACAUAUGCAAGUCGAACGAACAUUUAUGUUAGUGGCAAACGGGUGAGUAAUGCAAAGGUAAUCUGCCCCAAAGUCUGGAAUAACGUUUCGAAAGGAACGCUAAUACCGGAUACUCUCUUCUUUUCAUAAGAUCGGAAGAGGAAAGGUUUACUGCUCUGGGAGGAGCCUUUGUCCGAUUAGCUUGUUGGUAGGGUAAUGGCCUACCAAGGCGACGAUCGGUAGCCGGCCUGAGAGGGUGUACGGCCACACUGGGACUGAGAUACGGCCCAGACUCCUACGGGAGGCAGCAGUGGGGAAUAUUGCGCAAUGGGCGAAAGCCUGACGCAGCGACGCCGCGUGAGUGACGACGUCCUUCGGGAUGUAAAGCUCUGUCAGGAGGGAAGAKAUAUGACGGUACCUCCAGAGGAAGCACCGGCUAACUACGUGCCAGCAGCCGCGGUAAUACGUAGGGUGCAAGCAUUAUCCGGAUUUACUGGGCAUAAAGGGUAUGUAGGCGGUUUUUUAAGUCAGACGUUAAAGGCCCCGGCUCAACCGAGGUAUGCGUUUGAAACUGAAAAACUAGAGAUCAGGAGAGGAAAGCGGAACUCACAGUGUAGCGGUGAAAUGCGUAGAUAUUGUGAGGAACACCAGUUGCGAAGGCGGCUUUCUGGACUGAAUCUGACGCUGAGGUACGAAAGCAUGGGGAGCGAACGGGAUUAGAUACCCCGGUAGUCCAUGCUGUAAACGGUGUUCACUAGGUGUAGAGGGUAUCGACCCCUUCUGUGCCACAGAUAAUUCGUUAAGUGAACCGCCUGGGGAGUACGACCGCAAGGGUUAAAACUCAAAGGAAUUGACGGGGGCCCGCACAAGCAGUGGAGCAUGUGGUUUAAUUCGACGAUACGCGAAGAACCUUAUCAGGGUUUGACAUCCUCAGAACUUUCUAGAGAUAGAUUGGUGCUCGCARGAGAACUGAGUGACAGGUGGUGCAUGGCUGUCGUCAGCUCGUGUCGUGAGAUGUUGGGUUAAGUCCCGCAACGAGCGCAACCCCUGUCCCGUGUUGCCAGCACGUUAUGGUGGGAACUCACGGGAGACUGCCUGUGGAAAGCAGGAGGAAGGUAGGGACGACGUCAAGUCACCAUGCCCCUUACGUCCUGGGCUACACACAUGCUACAAUGGACGGUACAAAGGGUUGCCAAGCCGCAAGGUGGAGCUAAUCUCAUAAAACCGUUCUCAGUUCGGAUUGUAGUCUGCAACUCGACUACAUGAAGUUGGAAUUGCUAGUAAACGUGGAUCAGCUACGCCACGUUGAAUACGUUCCCGGGCCUUGUACACACCGCCCGUCACACCAUGAGAGUCGGAGACACCCGAAGCCAACGUGCCAACCUUUUAGGAGGCAGUUGUCGAAGGUGGAGCUGGCGAUUGGGGUGAAGUCGUAACAAGGUAACC